rnacentral:piRNA from 1 species
UGUCAUUGCUUGGCCUCCAGA